rnacentral:tRNA from 2 species
UGGCAGUUGCUUGAGCGGUUGAAAAGGGCGGUCUCGAAAACCGUUAGUGUCUAACGAUGCUCAAGGGUUCGAAUCCCUUACUGCCAG